rnacentral:rRNA from 1 species
GUGGCUACUGAUGCUUAUUGCACCACAUGUGUUUUUCUUUGAAACAAACUUGCUUUGGCGGUGGGCCCAGCCUGCCGCCAGAGGUCUAAACUUACAACCAAUUUUUUAUCAACUUGUCACACCAGAUUAUUACUUAAUAGUCAAAACUUUCAACAACGGAUCUCUUGGUUCUCGCAUCGAUGAAGAACGCAGCGAAAUGCGAUACGUAAUAUGAAUUGCAGAUAUUCGUGAAUCAUCGAAUCUUUGAACGCACAUUGCGCCCUCUGGUAUUCCGGAGGGCAUGCCUGUUUGAGCGUCGUUUCUCCCUCAAACCGCUGGGUUUGGUGUUGAGCAAUACGACUUGGGUUUGCUUGAAAGACGGUAGUGGUAAGGCGGGAUCGCUUUGACAAUGGCUUAGGUCUAACCAAAAACAUUGCUUGCGGCGGUAACGUCCACCACGUAUAUCUUCAAACUUUGACCUCAAAUCAGGUAGGACUACCCGCUGAACUUAAGCAUAUCAAAAGCCGGAGGAA